UGCCGGGGCUGCCGCGCCGCGCCGUGCCGGGGAGGAGCCCGAGGGGGCGCUCCCUCAGGUGAGCGAGGGGCUGCCUCGUGCGCGCGCUGCGCUUUCCCGCCCAUCGCCUGAGGCGAGCGCGGCGCGCUCUGGGCCGAUGAGGCACCCACACCGUACACCGCUCCUGCUUUGUUCCGCCUGCGGCAAACGGUGCCGGGACGAAAAGGGGCGGCCGGAACGGUCCUCUAGUGCAGCAGCCCUGGUCCAGCUGUCGUGGUACUGCUGAUACAACCCAGAGUGCUCAGUUCCCUCUGCUUCCAACCCAGACUCACAAUGUGGAGAGUAUCCUUAUUGAGAUGGAAAUCUGAAUGAGGAAAAAUGGUCCAUUCCCAGUGGAGAUAAAUUUAAGAUCCUGUCAUGCAUCAGUGGUGGCCUUUCUAAGCUAGGUUACUGAGCUUUGAGUGGAAGAUGAAAGGAGUAGAAUUUGUUCCAUCUGUAUGACCUGCGUAGUACUCGUGUCAGACCUACCAGGCAGAUCCAACAGCAUUUCACCUGAGUUUACUCCAGCUCUUUUGUCCACGGUUAGGAAAUGGUAGGUAUGUAACACACUCACCGCAGCCCCAAGUUCACCAGGACACGGCUCUCCACCACUACUGGCUCCCACUUGAAGUACAAAGAUUGUGUCUCAAACACUCUUUGGAACUUGAUGAUCCUUGAGGUCCCUUCCAACCCAAGCCAUUCCAUUCUUAUCUGUCACUAUACUCAUCUCUGGGCUGAUAAGAGCCGAGGCACUUAAGGAAACUUCAGGUGAUUUUCCAGGAAAAAAAAUUUCUAUCUAUAUGAGUAGAUACUAAUACUGUAAACUGCCUUUGUAUUUCAGCUGCCUAUUGAUGUACGCACUGAGGCAAUGCAAAGGCUUUGAAAUAAACUUACUAAACUUAUUGAAAAUCUCCAACUGACGGAGAGCAUUAAUGAGGCACAAAUUCUCUUGCUCAUGUCAGCA